UCCUACGGGGGGCAGCAGUAGGGAAUCUUCCACAAUGGACGAAAGUCUGAUGGAGCAACGCCGCGUGGGUGAAGGAGCGUUUCGGCGCGUAAAGCCCUAUCGGCAGGGAAGAAGAUGACGGUACCUGACCAAGAAGCCCCGGCUAACUACGUGCCAGCAGCCGCGGUAAUACGUAGGGGGCAAGCGUUAUCCGGAUUUACUGGGUGUAAAGGGGGCGCAGACGGCAAUGCAAGCCAGGAGUGAAAGCCCGGGGCCCAACCCCGGGACUGCUCUUGGAACUGCAUGGCUGGAGUACAGGAGGGGCG
rnacentral:rRNA from 1 species